rnacentral:rRNA from 1 species
GAUGAACGCUGGCGGCGUGCCUAAUACAUGCAAGUCGAGCGAACAGACGAGGAGCUUGCUCCUCUGACGUUAGCGGCGGACGGGUGAGUAACACGUGGAUAACCUACCUAUAAGACUGGGAUAACUUCGGGAAACCGGAGCUAAUACCGGAUAAUAUAUUGAACCGCAUGGUUCAAUAGUGAAAGACGGUUUUGCUGUCACUUAUAGAUGGAUCCGCGCCGCAUUAGCUAGUUGGUAAGGUAACGGCUUACCAAGGCAACGAUGCGUAGCCGACCUGAGAGGGGGAUCGGCCACACUGGAACGGAGACACGGUCCAGACUCCUACGGGAGGCAGCAGUAGGGAAUCUUCCGCAAUGGGCGAAAGCCUGACGGAGCAACGCCGCGUGAGUGAUGAAGGUCUUCGGAUCGUAAAACUCUGUUAUUAGGGAAGAACAAAUGUGUAAGUAACUAUGCACGUCUUGACGGUACCUAAUCAGAAAGCCACGGCUAACUACGU